UACGUGGGGGGCAAGCGUUGUUCGGAAUUACUGGGCGUAAAGGGCUCGUAGGCGGCCAACUAAGUCAGACGUGAAAUCCCUCGGCUUAACCGGGGAACUGCGUCUGAUACUGGAUGGCUUGAAUCCGGGAGAGGGAUGCGGAAUUCCAGGUGUAGCGGUGAAAUGCGUAGAUAUCUGGAGGAACACCGGUGGCGAAGGCGGCAUCCUGGACCGGCAUUGACGCUGAGGAGCGAAGGCCAGGGGAGCAAGCGGG
rnacentral:rRNA from 1 species